GGCACCUCCGACCUCUCCCUCCCCUCCUCUCCUGCUUCCCCGGGUACCCUACUUCUCUCUCUCUACCAUGUGAUACGCUCGCCGGUGGUCGGACCCUGACACCAAUACCGUGGACAAAGGAGAACCUUUCCUGCUCUCUAUCUCUCAGUCUCCCUCUCUCUGUCUCUCAAUCUCCCGCUCUCCCUCUCCAUCGAGAUCCCUCUGCCGAGAUCCACUCUUCGACAGCGCCGAGCCCUCCCUCCUCUCUUGCUCUCGGUUUCUCUCCCGUUCUGUGGCUCUGGAUGCCUUGCCUCUCCCUCUCCACCGCAAGAUCUGCUCACCGGUGGUCGGACCCCGACACCAAGGCCGUGGACAAAGGAGAUCCUCUCCCUCUCUCUGUCUCUCAGUCUCCCACUCUUCCUCUCCCUCUCCCUCUCCAUCAAGAUCCCUCCGUCGAGAUCCGCUCUCCGACGGCAUUGAGCCCUCCCUCCUCUCCUGCUCCCGGUUCCUCUCUCGCUCUGCAGCUUUGAGUGCCCUGCCUCUCCCUCUCUGCCGUGAGAUCUGCUCGUCGGUGGCCAGACCCAGACCUUCAAGACCAUGGACGAAGGAGAUCCUCUCCCACUCUCUGUCUCUCAGUCUCCCUCUCUCCCUCUCUCAGUCUCCCGCUCUCCCUCUCCGUCAAAGAUCCCUCCAUGGAGAUCCGCUCUCCGACAGCACCGAGCCCUCCUCUCCUCUCCACCUCUCUCCCUUUGUUGCUAUCUUCCGCGGCUCCACCGCCUCGCACCCCCUUCCUCUGCCUCACAUCGUCUCCGUCGCCAUCCGGGCCGUCCUCUCUCUCCACCGCUAUCCACUGUCGGGAUUCGAUCUCUCCAUCGCUGUCCUUCACUGUCUCGACUUCCUCUCCCUCUCCAAUGCUCACCGAAUCCCGACAUUAAGGCAGCUGAUCCGUCGCGCCCUCGUUGAUCUACUAUUUUUCUAGCUUUAUUGCUCGGUUGCCAUAGGUUAAACUAUGACUGGGUCGAUAAAUGUGACUCGCCAAAGAUCAAUAUCAAGUGGGUUUGGAAUUUUUCUGUUCUGGUGCGUAAUUUUCUCCACUACCUUUUUGAAAAGGAAACUGAGGCCCUCCACCUACGGUUGCUUCAAUUAGCAGUCGACACCUUGUAAUUGUGUCGACACCAGGUUUAGAGUCAUCAACUGCAUAUUCAUUUUCAAAUCUUGUAAUUGUUGCUAUCGAACGGCACAAUCGUAUAAAAACAGUUUUUUCUGGUAGUUGCAGUGUUAAUGACCGUAGCUUUAUUUC